rnacentral:rRNA from 1 species
UACAGAGGUCUCAAGCGUUGUUCGGGAUUCAUUGGGCGUAAAGGGUGUGUAGGUGGCGCGCUAAGUCGGGUGUGAAAUUUCGGAGCUUAACUCCGAAACUGCAUUCGAUACUGGCGUGCUUGAGGACUGGAGAGGAGACUGGAAUUUACGGUGUAGCAGUGAAAUGCGUAGAUAUCGUAAGGAAGACCAGUGGCGAAGGCGGGAUCUCGUGGACAAGUUCCUGACACUGAGAC